ACGCUAGCGGCAGGCUUAACACAUGCAAGUCGAGGGGUAACGACUCCGUCUUCGGAUGGAGGUCGACGACCGGCGCACGGGUGAGUAACGCGUAUGCAACCUACCUUUUACAGGAGGAUAGCCCAGAGAAAUUUGGAUUAAUACUCCAUAGUACUAAUGAAUCACCUGGUUUAUUAGUUAAAACUCCGGUGGUAAAAGAUGGGCAUGCGUGUCAUUAGCUAGUUGGUAAGGUAACGGCUUACCAAGGCGAAGAUGACUAGGGGUUCUGAGAGGAAGAUCCCCCACACUGGUACUGAGACACGGACCAGACUCCUACGGGAGGCAGCAGUGAGGAAUAUUGGUCAAUGGGUGAGAGCCUGAACCAGCCAUGCCGCGUGAAGGAAGACUGCCCUAUGGGUUGUAAACUUCUUUUCUGCAGGAAGAAAUCACUCUACGUGUAGGGUGUUGCCGGUACUGCAGGAAUAAGCAUCGGCUAACUCCGUGCCAGCAGCCACGGUAAUACGGAGGAUGCAAGCGUUAUCCGGAUUUAUUGGGUUCACAGGGUGCGUAGGCGGGCUUGUAAGUCAGUGGUGAAAUGCUGUGGCUUAACCAUAGAAUUGCCAUUGAAACUGCAAGUCUUGAGUACAGUUGAGGUGGGCGGAAUGAGUAAUGUAGCGGUGAAAUGCAUAGAUAUUACUCAGAACUCCGAUUGCGUAGGCCGCUUGCUAAACUGUAACUGACGCUGAUGCACGAAAGCGUGGGGAGCGAACAGGAUUAGAUACCCUGGUAGUCCACGCUGUAAACGAAUGAGCACUGGUUGUUGGCAAUACACCGUCAGCGACUGAGCGAAAGUAUUAAGUGCUCCACCUGGGGAGUACGUCGGCAACGAUGAAACUCAAAGGAAUUGACGGGGGCCCGCACAAGCGGAGGAACAUGUGGUUUAAUUCGAUGAUACGCGAGGAACCUUACCUGGGCUUAAAUGUAGAGUGCAUUGCUUGGAAACAGGCAUUUUCUUCGGAACUCUUUACAAGGUGCUGCAUGGUUGUCGUCAGCUCGUGCCGUGAGGUGUCGGGUUAAGUCCCAUAACGAGCGCAACCCCUAUUGUUAGUUACCAGCACGUAAUGGUGGGGACUCUAGCAAGACUGCCGGUGUAAACCGUGAGGAAGGUGGGGAUGACGUCAAAUCAGCACGGCCCUUAUGUCCAGGGCUACACACGUGUUACAAUGGCAAGUACAAAGAGCAGCCACCUGGCGACAGGGCGCUAAUCUCAAAAGCUUGCCUCAGUUCGGAUCGAAGUCUGCAACUCGACUUCGUGAAGGUGGAUUCGCUAGUAAUCGCGCAUCAGCCAUGGCGCGGUGAUACGUUCCCGGGCAUUGUACACACCGCCCGUCAAGCCAUGGAAGCCGG
rnacentral:rRNA from 1 species